rnacentral:rRNA from 1 species
CAAUAGCGUAUAUUAAAGCUGUUGCGGUUAAAAAGCUCGUAGUUGGAUUUCUGUCAAGGACAACUGGUCCGCCCUCCGGGUGAGCACAUAGUUUGGUCUUGACAUCUUGCUGGAAGCUGUUGCUGCACUUGGCUGUGUGGCGCAGUGUUCAGCACUUUCACUUUGAGGAAAUUGGAGUGUUUCAAGCAGGCACAUGCCUUUGGACACAGUAGCAUGGAAUAAUUAGAUUGGGCUUUUGCUCCAAUUUGUCGGUUUCUGGAGCUGAGGUGAGUAUUAAUGGGGAUUGUUGGGGGCAUCCGAAUUUAGCCGUCAGAGGUGAAAUUCUUGGAUCUGCUAAAGACGGACAACUGCGAAAGCGUUUGCCCAGGAUGUUUCCAUUGA